rnacentral:rRNA from 1 species
AUUGAACGCUGGCGGCAGGCUUAACACAUGCAAGUCGAGCGAGCGGCGGACGGGUGAGUAAUGUCUGUGACUCUGCCUGAUGGAUGGGGAUAACUACUGGAAACGGUAGCUACUACCGCAUACCAUCAGAUGUGCCCAGAUGGGAUUAGGUGGUGGGUGGGGUAAAGGCUCACCUAGGCGACGAUCCCUAGCUGGUCUGAGAGGAUGCACAGCCACACUGGAACUGAGACACGGUCCAGACUCCUACGGGAGGCAGCAGUGGGGAAUAUGGCACAAUGGGCGCAAGCCUGAUGCAGCCAUGCCGCGUGUGUGAAGAAGGCCUUCGGGUUGUAAAGCACUUUCAGCGAGGAGGCGUUACUCGCAGAAGAAGCACCGGCUAACUCCGUGCCAGCAGCCGCGGUAAUAC